UUCCAUCAGAAUUUAUUAAUGGUAAAAGCUGCUCAAUGAAAAAUUUAAUAGCCGCAAAUUGUGCUAAGGUAGCAUAAUCAUUUGUCUUUUAAUUAAAGACUAGAAUAAAAGAUUCAACAUUUAAAAUAUUUCUUUAAAUUAUUCAUUAAAAUUAUCCUAAAAAUAAAAAGACUUUUAUAAAAAAGAAAGACGAUAAGACCCUAUUGAAUUUCACUAAAGUUUAACUGGGGCAGUAAAUCAAUUAUUACUUUAAUAAAAAUAUUUAUAAAAUAGACCUAAUAAAAUUAAUAAAAUGAACAAAUUACCUUAGGGAUAACAGCGUAAUAAAAUUUUUAAGAUCUUAUUUAAAAUAAAGAUUGCGACCUCGAUGUUGAUUAAUAUCCUAAUUUACGCAAUAGAAAAUUAAGAAAGUCUGUUCGACUUUUAAAAAAUUACA
rnacentral:rRNA from 1 species